rnacentral:rRNA from 1 species
AUGGCCACUCUCUUCCGCGAGCGCUGUCUUUGGCAAAAUUUUAGUGAGCAAUGCCUGCCGGAGUCACAGGACUCCUGCUACCCGGAGGAGCAAUAUUUACGGACACCGCUCGACGUGGCCGACCCCGCCGGCUGCACCUGGUACACGCUCACGCGCAUCAACUAUACUGACAGUGUCGACGGCGACCCAUAG